rnacentral:rRNA from 1 species
UGAGGAAUAUUGCACAAUGGAGGGAACUCUGAUGCAGCGACGCCGCGUGAGUGAUGAAGGAAUUCGUUUCGUAAAACUCUGUUCUAUGGGAAGAAAAGGACUGUACCAUAGGAGAAAGCUCCGGCUAAAUACGUGCCAGCAGCCGCGGUAAUACGUAUGGAGCGAGCGUUGUCCGGAAUUAUUGGGCGUAAAGGGUGCGCAGGCGGCUUUACAAGUUGGAUGUGAAAUAUUGUGGCUCAACCACAAACGUGCAUCCAAAACUGCAAAGCUUGAGUUAAGGAGAGGUAAGUGGAAUUCCUGGUGUAGCGGUGGAAUGCGUAGAUAUCAGGAGGAAUACCGGUGGCGAAGGCGACUUACUGGACUUAAACUGACGCUCAGGCACGAAAGCGUGGGGAGCAAACAGG